rnacentral:rRNA from 1 species
AGUCGAGGGGUAUAGGUUUUCGGACCUAGAGACCGGCGCACGGGUGCGUAACGCGUAUGCAAUCUACCUUUCACAGAGGGAUAGCCCAGAGAAAUUUGGAUUAAUACCUCAUAGUAUAACGACUCGGCAUCGAGAUGUUAUUAAAGUCACAACGGUGAAAGAUGAGCAUGCGUCCCAUUAGCUAGUUGGUAUGGUAACGGCAUACCAAGGCGACGAUGGGUAGGGGUCCUGAGAGGGAGAUCCCCCACACUGGUACUGAGACACGGACCAGACUCCUACGGGAGGCAGCAGUGAGGAAUAUUGGACAAUGGGCGCAAGCCUGAUCCAGCCAUGCCGCGUGCAGGAUGACGGUCCUAUGGAUUGUAAACUGCUUUUGCACAGGAAGAAACAACUCUACGUGUAGAGUCUUGACGGUACUGUGAGAAUAAGGAUCGGCUAACUCCGUGCCAGCAGCCGCGGUAAUACGGAGGAUCCAAGCGUUAUCCGGAAUCAUUGGGUUUAAAGGGUCCGUAGGCGGUCUUAUAAGUCAGUGGUGAAAUCUCCCCGCUCAACGGGGAAACGGCCAUUGAUACUGUAGGACUUGAAUUAUUAGGAAGUAACUAGAAUAUGUAGUGUAGCGGUGAAAUGCUUAGAGAUUACAUGGAAUACCAAUUGCGAAGGCAGGUUACUACUAAUGGAUUGACGCUGAUGGACGAAAGCGUGGGUAGCGAACAGGAUUAGAUACCCUGGUAGUCCACGCCGUAAACGAUGGAUACUAGCUGUUGGAAGNCAUUUCAGUGGCUAAGCGAANGUGAU